rnacentral:rRNA from 1 species
AGAGUUUGAUCCUGGCUCAGGACGAACGCUGGCGGCGUGCUUAACACAUGCAAGUCGAGCGGAAAGGCCCUUCGGGGUACUCGAGCGGCGAACGGGUGAGUAACACGUGAGUAACCUGCCCCUGACUCUGGGAUAAGCCUGGGAAACCGGGUCUAAUACCGGAUAUGACCACUCCGGGCAUCCGGUGGUGGUGGAAAGUUUUUUCGGUUGGGGAUGGGCUCGCGGCCUAUCAGCUUGUUGGUGGGGUGAUGGCCUACCAAGGCGACGACGGGUAGCCGGCCUGAGAGGGCGACCGGCUACACUGGGACUGAGACACGGCCCAGACUCCUACGGGAGGCAGCAGUGGGGAAUAUUGCGCAAUGGGCGGAAGCCUGACGCAGCGACGCCGCGUGGGGGAUGACGGCCUUCGGGUUGUAAACCUCUUUCGGCAGGGACGAAGUUGACGUGUACCUGUGGAAGAAGCGCCGGCUAACUACAUGCCAGCAGCCGCGGUAAUACGUAGGGCGCGAGCGUUGUCCGGAAUUAUUGGGCGUAAAGAGCUCGUAGGUGGCUUGUCGCGUCUGCCGUGAAAGCCCGUGGCUUAACUGCGGGUCUGCGGUGGAUACGGGCAGGCUAGAGGCUGGUAGGGGCAAGUGGAAUUCCUGGUGUAGCGGUGAAAUGCGCAGAUAUCAGGAGGAACACCGGUGGCGAAGGCGGCUUGCUGGGCCAGUUCUGACGCUGAGGAGCGAAAGCGUGGGGAGCGAACAGGAUUAGAUACCCUGUAGUCCACGCUGUAAACGUUGGGCGCUAGGUGUGGGGGUCUUCCAUGGUUUCCUGUGCCGUAGCUAACGCAUUAAGCGCCCCGCCUGGGGAGUACGGCCGCAAGGCUAAACUCAAUGAAUUGACGGA